AACGAACGCUGGCGGCAUGCCUAACACAUGCAAGUCGAACGAGAUCUUCGGGUCUAGUGGCGCACGGGCGCGUAACGCGUGGGAAUCUGCCCUUUGGUUCGGAAUAACAGUUGGAAACGACUGCUAAUACCGGAUGAUGACGAAAGUCCAAAGAUUUAUCGCCAGAGGAUGAGCCCGCGUAGGAUUAGCUAGUUGGUGUGGUAAAGGCGCACCAAGGCGACGAUCCUUAGCUGGUCUGAGAGGAUGAUCAGCCACACUGGGACUGAGACACGGCCCAGACUCCUACGGGAGGCAGUAGUGGGGAAUAUUGGACAAUGGGCGAAAGCCUGAUCCAGCAAUGCCGCGUGAGUGAUGAAGGCCUUAGGGUUGUAAAGCUCUUUUACCCGGGAUGAUAAUGACAGUACCGGGAGAAUAAGCUCCGGCUAACUCCGUGCCAGCAGCCGCAGUAA
rnacentral:rRNA from 1 species